rnacentral:rRNA from 1 species
CGUGAGGGAAAGGUGAAAAGCACCCCGGGAGGGGAGUGAAACAGUACCUGAAACCGUGCGCCCACGAGCAGUCGGAGCACCUAUUAGGUGUGACGGCGUGCCUUUUGUAGAAUGAGCCAGCGAGUCGCUGGCGCGGGGCGAGGUUAACCGAAAGGGAGCCGGAGCGAAAGCGAGCCUUAACAGGGCGACUUGAGUCCCGCGCCGCGGACGCGAAGCCGGGUGAGCUAUCCGUGGGCAGGCUGAAGCGGGGGUAAGACCCCGUGGAGGGCCGAACGCACGUCGGUUGAAAACGGCGGCGAUGACCUGCGGAUAGGGGUGAAAGGCCAAUCAAACCCGGAGAUAUCUCGUUCUCCCCGAAAUAGCUUUAGGGCUAGCGUCGCGCGUUCACCGCCGGAGGUAGAGCACCGGAUGGACGAGGGGGCUUCGCCGCCUACCGAAUCCAACCGAACUCCGAAUGCCGGCGGCCCAGAGCGCGGCAGUCAGAGCAUGUGGGCUAAGCUGUGUGCUCGAGAGGGAAACAGCCCGGACCGCCCGCUAAGGUCCCCAAGUUCCAGCCGAGUGGCAAAGGAUGUGCGUCCGCCCAGACAACCAGGAUGUUGGCUUAGAAGCAGCCAUCCAUUCAAAGAGUGCGUAACAGCUCACUGGUCGAGUGGACAUGCGCCGACAAUACACGGGGCUAAGCUGGACACCGAAGCGGCGGGAUUUUAAUUCAUUAGAAUCGGUAGGGGAGCUUCCCAUGGGCGGAGAAGCCGGAGGGCGACCGACGGUGGAGCGCAUGGGAGUGAGAAUGCUGGCAUGAGUAGCGAGAGACGAGAGAGUAACUCGUCCGCCGUGAACCCGAGGUUUCCUGGGCAAGGCUAAUCCUCCCAGGGUCAGUCGGGGGCUAAGGCGAGGCCGGUAGGCGUAGCCGACGCGCAGCAGGCAGACAUUCCUGCACCGCGCACGCGGCGCUACGACCGACGGGGCGACGGAUGGGGGUGGCUCGGCGGGGUUCUGGACGUCCCCGUGAUGGAGCGCGGCCCGCGGACCAGGGAAAUCCGGUCCGCACGAGGGCGAGGCUCCGGACGAAGCGAUUGAGCGAAGCGAGUGAGCCCGAGGUCCCUAGAAAAACCCCUAGGCAGGCGCGUGCGCGCCCGUACCGCAAACCGACACAGGUGGGUGGGUAGAACAUACCGAGGCGAUCGGGUCAACCAUGGUCAAGGAACUCGGCACAAUGGCCCCGUAACUUCGGGAGAAGGGGUGCCCGCGCGUACGUGAACCGGCUUGCCCGGGGAGCGGAGGCGGGCCGCAGUGGAGAGGCCCAAGCGACUGUUUACCAAAAACACAGGACUCUGCAGAAGCCGCAAGGCGACGUAUAGGGUCUGACGCCUGCCCGGUGCCGGAAGGUCACGCGGAGGAGUUAGCGCAUCGCGCGAAGCCCCGAAGCCAAGCCCCGGUAAACGGCGGCCGUAACUAUAACGGUCCUAAGGUAGCGAAAUUCCUUGUCGGGU